ACCUUGUAAUCGUAUGUUUACGUUUUACAAGAUUGAAAAGUUAACAACCAUGAAGUUGUAACACAGUGUAGCCAACCCACAAAUGUGAAUAAUGUGUGCGCGUGCGUAAGUACAAUUAAUCAGCUGUUUGGUAUAAAUACCAGUUGAUUUAAGACGUGGUGUUACGUGUAGUUGACAAUGUUUUUAAAAAAAGCAAGGACAUCGAAAUCACAAUAUACUAUUUAUGUAGAGUACUUAGAAAAAAAUUGUUUGUUAAGAACUGGAAAACUUUCUCCUAACUUGGGCCCAGAGGAUCUUCAUUCUUUGUGGCUGCAACUAGCAAAGGAGCUAAAUGCAUGUGGAGAUGGACCCACUAGAGAAGUUGAAGGAUGGAAGAAGCUGUUCACUGAGUGGAAAUCGCAAACUCGCAAGAAAGCACGGGAGAAUAAAGCACUAAAUGCUCUCGAAAUAAGGUUAUUAAAGGGCAACCGGCACAGUGGUAGUGCAUGGGAUUUCUACAGUACCUGAAAUAGGGGUAAAUGAAGUGCAAGAAGCGAUUCAUGCAGUUGAAAACGUAGAAAUACAAUAUGUUGACGAAGUAAUACAAGAUGUAGAUGGAGCGGUAGCCUCACUGGAUGUUCCCAUAGAACAGAUACUCCCUACCCAUAAGGACGCCUAUAUAAACGUUGUUCAUUGCUUCAAAUUGAAUAAUUUUAAUGAUUCAAAAUAAAUUAAUACAAC